rnacentral:rRNA from 1 species
CAUAGGUUAAUGAGGCGAACCGGGGGAACUGAAACAUCUAAGUACCCCGAGGAAAAGAAAUCAACCGAGAUUCCCCCAGUAGCGGCGAGCGAACGGGGAGCAGCCCAGAGCCUGAAUCAGUGUGUGUGUUAGUGGAAGCGUCUGGAAAGGCGCGCGAUACAGGGUGACAGCCCCGUACACAAAAAUGCACAUGCUGUGAGCUCGAUGAGUAGGGCGGGACACGUGGUAUCCUGUCUGAAUAUGGGGGGACCAUCCUCCAAGGCUAAAUACUCCUGACUGACCGAUAGUGAACCAGUACCGUGAGGGAAAGGCGAAAAGAACCCCGGCGAGGGGAGUGAAAAAGAACCUGAAACCGUGUACGUACAAGCAGUGGGAGCACGCUUAGGCGUGUGACUGCGUACCUUUUGUAUAAUGGGUCAGCGACUUAUAUUCUGUAGCAAGGUUAACCGAAUAGGGGAGCCGAAGGGAAACCGAGUCUUAACUGGGCGUUAAGUUGCAGGGUAUAGACCCGAAACCCGGUGAUCUAGCCAUGGGCAGGUUGAAGGUUGGGUAACACUAACUGGAGGACCGAACCGACUAAUGUUGAAAAAUUAGCGGAUGACUUGUGGCUGGGGGUGAAAGGCCAAUCAAACCGGGAGAUAGCUGGUUCU